GACGAACGCUGGCGGCGUGCCUAAUACAUGCAAGUCGAGCGGAUGAAAGAGGAGCUUGCUCCUCUAGAUUCAGCGGCGGACGGGUGAGUAACACGUGGGCAACCUGCCCUGUAGAUUGGGAUAACUCCGGGAAACCGGGGCUAAUACCGAAUAAUCCUUCGGACCUCAUGGUCCGAUGUUGAAAGACGGUUCCGGCUGUCACUACAUGAGCGGUCCGCGGCGCAGUAGCUAGUUGGUGAGGUAACGGCUCACCAAGGCCACGAUGCGUAGCCGACCUGAGAGGGUGAUCGGCCACACUGUGACUGAGACACGGCCCAGACUCCUACGGGAGGCAGCAGUAGGGAAUCUUCCACAAUGGACGAAAGUCUGAUGGAGCAACGCCGCGUGAGUGAAGAAGGUUCUCGGAUCGUAAAACUCUGUUGUGAGGGAAGAACAAGUACCGGAGUAACUGCCGGUGCCUUGACGGUACCUCAUUAGAAAGCCACGGCUAACUACGUGCCAGCAGCCGCAGUAA
rnacentral:rRNA from 1 species